rnacentral:rRNA from 1 species
GAUGAACGCUGGCGGCGUGCUUAACACAUGCAAGUCGAACGUGAGGGUGUAGCAAUAUGCCUGAAAGUGGCGAACGGGUGAGUAACACGUAGAUGACCUGCCCUGGAGUGGGGGAUAACCAUUGGAAACGGUGGCUAAUACCGCAUACAUCCAUAUUUCUGGGAAGAGAUGUGGGGAAAGCUCUGGUGCUCUGGGAGGGGUCUGCGUCCGAUUAGCUAGUUGGUGAGGUAAAGGCUCACCAAGGCGACGAUCGGUAGCUGGUCUGAGAGGACGAUCAGCCACACGGGAACUGAGACACGGUCCCGACUCCUACGGGGGGCAGCAGUGAGGAAUAUUGGGCAAUGGGCGAGAGCCUGACCCAGCAACGCCGCGUGGAGGAAGACGGCCUUCGGGUUGUAAACUCCUUUUGACAGGGAAGAGAGAGGACGGUACCUGUCGAAUAAGUCACGGCUAACUACGUG